GGUAAACGCUGGCGGCGUGCCUAAAACAUGCAAGCCGAACGGGCAGGCUCUUCGGAGGCUGCCAGUGGCGGACGGCUGAGUAACACGUGGGUGACACACCCAUCGGUGGGGAACAACUGCCCGAAAGGGUGGCUAAUACCGCGUACGUCUGGAGCCUCAACGGCUCCAGGGAAAGCUCGUUCUGCGAAGGNGAGUGCCGAUGGACUGACCCGCGCCCGAUUAGCUAGCUGGGAGGUAACGGCUCACCAGGGCGACGAUCGGUAGCUGGUCUCAGAGGAUGAUCAGCCAGACUGGGACUGAGACACGGCCCAGACUCCUACGGGAGGCAGGCAGUUAGGAAUUUGGGCAAUGGGCGCAAGCCU
rnacentral:rRNA from 1 species